GGGUAAUGACUUAAACCUAUAUGGCCCCUGGAUUGGACUGCGGCCGAUCAGGCUGUUGGUGAGGUAAUGGCCCACCAAACCUGUAACCGGUACGGGCUCUGAGAGGAGGAGCCCGGAGAUGGGCACUGAGACAAGGGCCCAGGCCCUAUGGGGCGCAGCAGGCGCGAAACCUCUGCAAUAGGCGAAAGCUUGACAGGGUUACUCUGAGUGAUCUCCGUUAAGGAGAUCUUUUGGCACCUCUAAAAAUGGUGCAGAAUAAGGGGUGGGCAAGUCUGGUGUCAGCCGCCGCGGUAAUACCAGCACCCCGAGUGGUCAGGACGUUUAUUGGGCCUAAAGCAUCCGUAGCCGGUUCUACAAGUCUUCCGUUAAAUCCACCUGCUUAACAGAUGGGCUGCGGAAGAUACUAUAGAGCUAGGAGGCGGGAGAGGCAAGCGGUACUCGAUGGGUAGGGGUAAAAUCCGUUGAUCCAUUGAAGACCACCAGUGGCGAAGGCGGCUUGCCAGAACGCGCUCGACGGUGAGGGAUGAAAGCUGGGGGAGCAAACCGGAUUAGAUACCCGGGUAGUCCCAGCUGUAAACGA
rnacentral:rRNA from 1 species